AGGUGACAAUCCAAGAGGGGGGGGGGGUGAAUUGGUUUCUUCUAAUUUUGGUGCUUUUAAAAACUUUCGUAAUUAAGUGCGGUGGAUGCUUACUUAGAUUAUUUGAGUGAGUUAAACUAAUGCAAGAAUAGAAGAUAAUGCAAGAGAAAAUAAAAGCACAAACACAACGCAAACACAACAAUAUAUAGUGGUUCGGUGCUCUCCUUAGCACCUACGUCCACUCCCUAAGCGUCCCCUUGGG
rnacentral:lncRNA from 1 species